rnacentral:rRNA from 1 species
UACGUAGGGGGCAAGCGUUGUCCGGAAUCAUUGCGCGUAAAGAGCGUGUAGGCGGCCAGAUAAGUCCGCUGUGAAAUCUCGAGGCUCAACUUCGAGCUGUCGGUGGAAACUGUCUGGCUAGAGUCCGGAAGAGGAGAAUGGAAUUCCUGGUGUAGCGGUGAAAUGCGCAGAUAUCAGGAAGAACACCCGUGGCGAAGGCGGUUCUCUGGGACGGUACUGACGCUGAGACGCGAAAGCGUGGGGAGCGAACAGG